AUUGAACGCUGGCGGCAGGCCUAACACAUGCAAGUCGAGCGGAUGAAGGGAGCUUGCUCCUGGAUUCAGCGGCGGACGGGUGAGUAAUGCCUAGGAAUCUGCCUGGUAGUGGGGGAUAACGUCCGGAAACGGGCGCUAAUACCGCAUACGUCCUGAGGGAGAAAGUGGGGAUCUUCGGACCUCACGCUAUCAGAUGAGCCUAGGUCGGAUUAGCUAGUUGGUGGGGUAAAGGCCUACCAAGGCGACGAUCCGUAACUGGUCUGAGAGGAUGAUCAGUCACACUGGAACUGAGACACGGUCCAGACUCCUACGGGAGGCAGCAGUGGGGAAUAUUGGACAAUGGGCGAAAGCCUGAUCCAGCCAUGCCGCGUGUGUGAAGAAGGUCUUCGGAUUGUAAAGCACUUUAAGUUGGGAGGAAGGGCAGUAAGUUAAUACCUUGCUGUUUUGACGUUACCAACAGAAUAAGCACCGGCUAACUUCGU
rnacentral:rRNA from 1 species